rnacentral:hammerhead_ribozyme from 1 species
GCACUGACGAAGAGUGCUAGACUAGGACGAAACAGCUGUCCAGUAC